rnacentral:rRNA from 1 species
AUUGAACGCUGGCGGCAGGCCUAACACAUGCAAGUCGAGCGGUAGAGAGAAGCUUGCUUCUCUUGAGAGCGGCGGACGGGUGAGUAAUGCCUAGGAAUCUGCCUGGUAGUGGGGGAUAACGUUCGGAAACGAACGCUAAUACCGCAUACGUCCUACGGGAGAAAGCAGGGGACCUUCGGGCCUUGCGCUAUCAGAUGAGCCUAGGUCGGAUUAGCUAGUUGGUGAGGUAAUGGCUCACCAAGGCGACGAUCCGUAACUGGUCUGAGAGGAUGAUCAGUCACACUGGAACUGAGACACGGUCCAGACUCCUACGGGAGGCAGCAGUGGGGAAUAUUGGACAAUGGGCGAAAGCCUGAUCCAGCCAUGCCGCGUGUGUGAAGAAGGUCUUCGGAUUGUAAAGCACUUUAAGUUGGGAGGAAGGGCAGUUACCUAAUACGUGAUUGUUUUGACGUUACCGACAGAAUAAGCACCGGCUAACUCUGUGC